CAUGGGCAUGCUAGCUAGCCAACGGACGCCUACUGAACGGCCAACAGUUUUUCGCGCUGUGGUGGACGCUACUACGCUGCUGGUGGAACAGACCUCCUGGCCAUGCUUUUCGCGGCGUUUCCACCACUACUAGGACAUAAACCAGUCGGCUUACGGCAUUGCUGACUGCCUUCCCGCCCCCUAUCUGCAGAAUUC
rnacentral:sRNA from 1 species